rnacentral:tRNA from 2 species
GCGCUGCUAGCUCAACUGGCAGAGCAUCUGACUCUUAAUCAGAGGGUUCAGGGUUCGAGUCCCUGGCGGCGCAC